rnacentral:lncRNA from 1 species
AUGAGUAUGCUGAUGAUUGAUAUGACUGUGUUUUUUUGAAUUUUCUGUUUGGUAGGAAAACCAUGUAUGGGUGAUUCGUGUGAUGCAUGUGGGAAUGCAACUGGGUAAUUGGAUGUCUUUGUAGGGUUUAAUUCUUGAUUGCCAAUGAGAUUGGACUUUAAAUGGUAACUGCCAAAUGAGAACUAGUGAAGGAGAUUGAACUGCCUGAUGAGGACAACACUCGAAGAGUA